rnacentral:misc_RNA from 1 species
AAUGAGAAUGCAAGUGGAAUCAUCACUGCCGGACGUGCAAAACGAUCAGCUUCACAGCCUGCGAAGCCCGGUGAUAGGUUCAGGAAGUUAAAGGAAGAAGAGAAGCGGAAAAAGUCAAGCAAGGCAUUAGCAGAUGAAGAGGUUCAGACUCUGGAUUCUGCAUCUCGUUCUGAUGAGGACUCCGAUGAAGAUGCUACAGACAAGGUUGAGGAAGUUCUUGAAGCAUCAUAUACCUCUAGUACAGACAAACAGGUUCCAGAUAUUUCUAGGCCAA